CUAUUAAUAACCCCAAAUUCACUCAUCACUAAAAACUAAACCAUUUUUCCCUCCAAGUAUGGGCGACAGAAAAGAAAUAUCUUAAAGAGCUAUAGAAAAAGUACCGCAAGGGAACGCUGAAAAAGAAAUGAAACAAACCAGUAAAGUUAAAAAAAGCAGAGAUUAACCCUCGUACCUUUUGCAUCAUGAUUUAGCAAGUAUGAACCAAGCAAAAAGCAUUUUAGUUUGGCCCCCCGAAACUAAGUGAGCUACUCCAAGACAGCCUAGAAUUUAGGGCCAACCCGUCUCUGUAGCAAAAGAGUGGGAUGAGCUUAGAGUAGAGGUGACAGACCUAUCGAACUUAGUUAUAGCUGGUUGCUUGAGAAUUGAAUAGAAGUUCAGCUUUAUGGCUUCUCACCUCCACGUUGCCUUAAUCAAACCCGAGUUAAAGAAACCAAAAAAGUUAAUUAAAGGGGGUACAGCCCCUUUAAACAAGGUACAACUUCACCAGUUGGGUAUAGAUCAUAUUUACCAAGGAUAAGUGUUUUAGUGGGCCUGAAAGCAGCCACCUAUUAGAAAGCGUUAAAGCUCCUUCAUAACUUUAUCCAUUAAUACCGACAAUCCCUCCAAACCCACUAAUUUUAUCAAGCCGCCCCAUUUAACAUGGGUGUGAUUAUGCUAAUAUGAGUAAUAAGAAAAACUAGAUUUUCUCCAUGCACAAGUGUAACUCGAAACGGACCCCCCAUCGAACUUUAUUUCGGCCCCAAUAAAAGAGGGUAAUGAACCACAACCUUAAUAACAAGAAAAACAACCAAAAAAUAACCGUUAACCCCACACUGGUGUUCUUACAAGGAAAGACUAAAAGAAAAAGAAUGAACUCGGCAAAUACAAGCCUCGCCUGUUUACCAAAAACAUCGCCUCUUGCAAACUAAGAAUAAGAGGUCC
rnacentral:rRNA from 1 species